rnacentral:rRNA from 1 species
GAUGAACGCUGGCGGCGUGCUUAACACAUGCAAGUCGAACGGAAAGGCCCCUGCUUGCAGUGGUACUCGAGUGGCGAACGGGGGAGUAACACGGUGGCGUACUGCUCUGCACUUCGGGAUAAGCCUGGGAAACGGGGACUAAUACCGGAUAGGACGAGGGGUUGGAUGGGGUUGUGGAAAGUUCUUCGGUGGGGGAUGGGCUCGCGGCCUAUCAGCUUGUUGGUGGGGUAGUGGCUUACCAAGGCGUCGACGGGUAGCCGGCCUGAGAGGGUGAACGGCCACAUUGGGACUGAGAUACGGCCCAGACUCCUACGGGAGGCAGCAGUGGGGAAUAUUGCACAAUGGGCGCAAGCCUGAUGCAGCGACGCCGCGUGGGGGAUGACGGCCUUCGGGUUGUAAACUGCUUUCGCUAGGGACGAAGCGCAAGUGACGGUACCUGGUGAAGAAGCACCGGCUAACUACGUG